GGUAAAAAUGCACAAUCAGUGUAAAAAUAAUGUUACAUUUUCCAGUCAGCCUAAUUUAAGAGAGCUGGAGAUUUAAAUAUUAUUUAUAAAUUAAUACCGCCACUAAAAAUUUAGUAUCUAUGGAGCGGUGAAAGUUGAUUAGACACUGAAAAGACAUAGUAGUGAUGUAUGAACAUGUGUCAAUCAAAUGGAUGCCUGGCAAUGGGAUUUAGUAAGAAAGUAUUGUGGCGGCAAUGAAAUUUGGUAGUGAUGGUUGAGGGUGUUAUUCCAGGCUUAACUUGAGAUGAUUAGAUUUGGUUGAUAGUUGGCACGUCAUGGUUAAUGGCCUGUAAUCCUGCCAUGGCUGUAAAAAGGACCUUUCUGGGCCUUUGGUUGUUACAUCUCAAAGAUUUGGUCACAAACCCGUAGUGCUAGGGGUAAGGUAACAGUUGUAUUUUGCAAAGUCAUUAUUUAGUUCUGUUUAUGGCUGUGUGGUUCAGCUGUCAUAAGAUCCUGGACACUAGCCAUUAUGAGAAUAUAAAACGGGCAACAAGGGAGUAAAAGGGCAAAUCCUAUCUUCCCCCUUAGUCUGGAAGUUGGUUUGCCAUUUCUUUCCAUCUGAAGCCAGCUUCUAAUGUUUGAAUCGGAGGCCAUGCAUCAGAGCCUUGAUCCCCAGGUUUGGUAGGGAUCUCUUGCACUACUUAGCAGAUAACAGGCAGCUAGAGCAAACAGGUGAUACAUGUGCAAUGUUGGAUGGACUCCAAAGAAAACAAGCUGAAAUUUAAAGAUAACAGAUAAAGUGAAUUAAUAUGAAACUCUGCCUCUAAAGGUUACUUGUGAUGCUAUGCCCAGAGUGCCAUGUAUGGGCUUGACUUUGUGGGAACUAAAAAUAAGAUAAGACUCAGAUUAUAUUAGUGUAAAAAAAUAUAAUUGUUGAAGUAGGGGAAAAAAACAAGCAACAGGGUUCAAAUUUAUGAAAAGUGCACUUAAAAAUUGUGGAUGAAAAUACCUGUGUUAGUGAUUUAAUAGCAGAACAAUUGAGGAGCCUGACGUGUGAACAGCUGAAUAAGAUGGCACAAGUGGACUUCCUCAAAAAACUGCUAGAAAAUGAAAUAGACACUGAAAAUACAAGAAAUUCAACUGUGGAAAACAUGACCACUGGUGCAGUGGAUUCUGGGGUCCGCAACAUUCAUGUGUUUGUGGAGUCUGGGGAUGUUAGUUUAUAAUAAUUCUUAAGUAAAGCUGUGUAAACAAUUUUUAAAAAAUAAAAUAAUGUAUGACUGACUUAAUGAAAGCCAACUAACCUUCACAUAACCACUAAGAACACCCCUUUUAAUUUCCCAGUUUCAGCAAUAAACAGUAAAAUGUAUUGUUUUGAAAUGCAAAAUAAAUUUCUCAAACUGGUGUAUGAGUCAACAGUUGCCAGAUAUCAAAAUGUUAUCAUCAGCCUUAUUGCUGCAUAAAUUGCAUUACACAUAAUAGUAUUUUGCCUUAAGAGACAAAUUCUCAGUUUCCUAAGCAGAAAAUCGAAACCUUGCUGUAGCAUUAUUCUGAAAUUUGCAAGCAAAAUGUUACCAUCACUUUGUGUUUCUUACACACAGUACCUCCAUUAUUUAGAUACUGUUUUACCCAUAGUUUCCUUUGUUUUUCUUCUUUUUGUUGUAAUUCAUAACUAUAAAUGCAGCACAAAUUUCCAAGCACACAAGUUGAUGCACAUGCAUUCUUUCUACUGAUUUUUGCAUAUGCACUUCUGUCCCCACGCAUUUGCACUUGUGCAUAAGGAAAGAGCCAUUGUAUAGACACACCGUAAGAAUGGCAAAUUUAGAUGUUUUAACUUAGUGUUGAGUGAAACUCCACCCAGGCCAUUAAUGAGGCUGAUAACAGUUUUAAAGCUAGUUUAUACUCCAAACCAAGCCUUUAAACAAGGAUUUGACUAUUUUAGGUGUGUUUUGUAUUUUUACUGUUGUUGAAACUGAUUAGACAAGGCAGAUGCAUGCCUCUGGAUCAGUUUUCUUGGAAAUGCUUUUGGGAUUCACCCAUCAGUUUGGUUACAUUCAAAUCAGUCCAAGGGUUCUGGGUGAGGAAUGAUUCAAAAUAUAUAUCUUGUUGGCCCGCAUCUCGUGGUCCUGCGGUAGCGUUCUCGCCUCUCACGCCCGGGUUCCCGGGUUCGAUUCCCGGCGGGGUCAGGGAUUUUCUCUGCCUCGUGAUGGCUGGGUGUUGUGUGCUGUCCUUAGGUUAGUUAGGUUUAAGUAGUUCUAAGUUCUAGGGGACUGAUGACCGUAGCUGUUAAGUCCCAUAGUGCUCAGAGCCAUUAUAUCUUGUUGGUUGUGAAUCCUUCCAGCAGGGAAAGUGAUCCUAACCAUUCAUAAUACCCCUAUCCAUUUAUGAAAAUGAAAGACUCAUUUUGCUGGAUACAAGACGUAUUGGCUGUGGCACAAGAUGGGCAAAGAAACAUGGAAGGUAUGAAGAGCUUGCUGUUGCAAAAUGUUUCAAUGGGAAAAGAGUGGGUGUGCGUUCAGAGCAGUAAAUUGAUGAUUACCAGUUACAUGAUAUUAAGAACAGUCUAUGAGGCUCUCAUGAGGAAGCCAGUCAGUCUAACAAGGCAGUAUGCCACCGAUCUUUAUCACAGUACUACCUGCUAGGAUAAAGGACCUAUAAAUUUGUAGUGUAUCAAUCUUAUUGAAUCACAUUUUAGUAAACUACAUGCAUGCACUGGUAGGAUACUGAUGUAACCAAUGUAGUGAGAUUUUAAUUGUAAGUGACAUGCCAACCACAUAUCUUUUAGCCUUUGUGUCAUUUUGCAUCAAGUGGCCCUCUUCAAAGUUAAUGAAAUUUGUGUAGAAUGUACCUAAGCAACCUGCAAGACCUUCUCCCACGUUCGAGCUCUUAUCAGCCACUGACUGUUGCAGUUUUUUAAAUAAUUGCAUCAUUCACUUUGCAAAGCCUUUUUCUUAUCUCUCGAACAAUUUUUUUGAAAUUAAAGUUAUUUUCCAGUAGCUGAUAAAUAUUUGUGAAGAUAUGAAUACAAGUUUAUCCCACUAGCUUCUUCUCGAUGUUUCUGCAUGGUGGUCAGAGUUUUUGGCCUGCUUUUUAUCAGACUUUCACACAUUGUAGGUGUUUUGCCAUUCCGAUAUUGGUUAGGUGCAGACAUUUGUGUAUUGCAUGAUACUUUUUGUCAAACAAUGCAAGAUUUCAUACAUAUGUGACAGUAGUGCUUCUUGUUGAAAGCAUGCCAGAGAGUCUUCAUCCAACGGCAAGCUACUAUUUUUCUGAAUGUAGAAAUGUAUGCAAAGACAGGCUGUACUCCUUGCAAAAGACCUUCACCCCUACCUAUUCUUGUCUUCAGUACUGUUAAAAACACAAUGGAUUCCACUUCCACUUGCAGCAACCGGACUUUUAUUGAUUACAUAGGUAGUUACUUGCCAGGCUUUGUAGAUUAUGUAGUUCCUUUGUUUAAUCUGUUUAUCUGUUGACAGUAUGAAGAUGACCACUGGGAGGUCAAAACCAAUUACGACACUGAAACGCCAAUGUGAUUGUGUCCAAAAGCACAAUCAGCCACACAAUGGAUUCCACUUCCACUUGCAGCAACCGGACUUUUGUUGAUUACAUAGAUUAUCUGGUUCAUGGCUUAUUCGUGCCGCAUCUGAGUUCACGCAGACACUGGCCACCACUGCCAGCUACUACCCGUCUAGUAGACAUCCCGAAUAUGUUUGAAAAUACAAGUUGACACUAUGGCUCAAAAUUGGCACUGGAGCAAAGACGACUUGCAGCAAGCCUGAUGAAAUUGUAUGGUUCAAUGACUUUUGUCCGUUCAAAGUAUAGAAUGUGAUUUGCACAUGAGCCACCAAGCUGUUUAACACUGUACCACAGCUACACGAAGUUUGUGAAUGCUAGAUCAGUAGCUAACAACUAUCGAGGCAAUGCAGGACAUCCAAAACCAGGAAGAUAUGAACAAAGCAUCACUGUUGUACAGGACGCAGUGUUGCAGAGUCCCUCAAAAUCAGCAUACAAUGCAGUUUCAAAACAGAAAUUCCUCAAAAACAGUGAAAUUUAACCUUGGGAUGGGACCAUGCCACAUCCAAGCUUCAACAUUGGUGCAGAAAUGUAAGCAGGUGGAAUGUUGUCUUUUUUUUAACUGAACUGAUGAAUAUGUGGCAAGAUAUUCUGAAUGUAACAGCAUUCAGCAAUUAAGCCACUUUUCACACAAGGGGUUUGUGAACCAACAUAACACAAUUUUGUGGGCCACCACAAACCCACGCGCCAUUCUGGGUCAUGACUCCCCCAAAGCGAAUGUAAGGUGUGUGCUGUGAUUGCAGCUGGACCCUACUUUUUUAUACGUGAACAGUAACUUCUGACAUCUGUUUAGAGAUGCAUACCAUUGAUGAACUACUACUGUUUCAAACAAGAUGACAUUCCACUGCAUCUCGAUGCGAUGUUCUCACACUGGUGGAUUGGUCAUCAGUGACCACUGUGCUGGCCUCCACAAACUCCUGAGUUAACACCAUAUUAUUUCUGGUAAUGGGCAUAUUUAAAGUAGGAAAGUUCAUGACAUAAGUUACCUAAAGGACCAUAUACUGGUUGUGGUAUCAUCCAUUCAGAGUGAAAUGUGUGUACAGAUUUUAAAUGUUAAUCGCUGAUUUUCAAGUGUUGAAUGUGAUGGUGGACUGACUGAAUUUGGUGGUACUUAGCACUUGCAGCAUAUCAUUUAACACAUUCGAUG